rnacentral:misc_RNA from 1 species
GAAACUGUUGGUGAAUUUAAUGAAAAUUAGAAAGGAAAUUUCCACACAAUAGUUAUCAUGAACAAUUAAAUAAUUGGCAACAAGCAGGGCAUAUAAAAUUGAUCCCCAAAUAUUGGGGGCUAAUGAGAUCAAAUAAUAACAAAAUUAUAAAAUAUUGCUUAUAGAUCAACUGGCAUAGCAUGGCAUGAGAUCAAACCUAUAAACAAUGACAAUUUAAGCCUACUGCACUUACAUCCCAAGCAAUAGAGAAGACAAAUAGGUAUAUUUAUGCUACUGCCUAAACCAUAAUCAUUUGUGAUGAUGUAUUUUUUUUUUUACUCUACCCUAUGGACAGAACAAAAGCAUUCAGAAUCUACAGCAAAGAAGGCCCUCCCUCCAAUUCCUAUGUUUCCGGUGAUGCCUACGGUCAGCUUUCGCCAUUCUUACAGGGCUGCUAUUCCAUUCGGACUGCAAUAUGGGGAAUGCGAAGGAGCGGGUGCUGGUUGUGCUGCUAUCUGAUCUAAGAGAGACACUGCCAGAAUUUGCAAUUGGCCCUGAAUAACUGAUCAGACCUGAUAGAGGUACUGCAGCAGAGAAACUUGUCUCCCCAAGGCUGUAUUGAAGUUGACUUGAUAAUGGCUCGGUGCUUGUCUCUUCUGGCAGGAAUGAGCAAGUCUCAGUACGUCCUGAACCACAAUUUUGAGAAUCAUCCUCUCCCCCACUUGCCGUUGGUGGUGAAGAGAGAGAGUUAAAGGUUAUAAUUUUAGUCUCCACCCUAUUGUUGCAAGAUGAUUCAUCUUCAAUUUUCCUGGUUGAUUGAGACACAGAAACCCCAUUAUGGCUUGUCAUUUUAUCACCACUGCUGCCAUUUUCUAAUCCCUCAGUUGUAAAAUUCAGAGCAUUACUUGCUACGACUGUUUCAUCAUGGCCAUGAUCUGACGCCUUAGCUGUAGAAUCCAGGGCAAGAGUUCCCAAGACUGCUUCCUGAUGGCCAAAAUCUGAUUCUUCAGCUGCAUAUACAACAGGAUUCACCACUAAUACUUGCUCGUUGCCAUUUUCAGAUUCUUCACAGCCAGAAGCCAUUGCCAUGAUUGUGUUUUCACAUGGCCUCUGAACAGACUGUAGUUCAGUUUCACCAAUGCUGUUAUGAGUAGACUCGGGUUGUGAAAGCUCUGUGCCCGCCUCUGGCGUUAAAAGCAAUUGCCCAAAUGAAAAAAUCUCUUUAGAUGCAACAUUUGCAAUUUCCUCUUUUGAAUCAACCUCUGUCUCCCCUACUGGGAUCAACUUCUUGAAAUCACAUUCAAGAGAAAAUUCAUUUUUGGAACCCUUUUCUUCAGUAGAUAUUAGAACAUCAGGAAUAGGCAAAUAAAGAGUCGAUUUUUCUUUUUUUGCUGAAGGUUUCAUAUCAUCUGGAAUAAAGGCAUCUAGGUUAACCCUUUCUUUUGCUAUCUCACUAUUUAUGUCCUCAGGAGGUAGAAUCGUGCACAGAUUCUCCUCACUUACACCAGGGUCAAACAAGAACCUGUCCUGGGAGGGGACACCCUCAUCAAUGCAGAUGUCCUUGACAAUAUGGUAAGCACUAUCCCUGUAACAAACUACCAACUCUGGAAGUUCAGAUUCCAUAACACUUUUGUCUACAUAGAAAACUUUGUUCUUCUCAAAUGAUUCAAUUUUCAGUGAAGAAUGAGUUAAUGGCGUUGGUGCCACAAAAUCUCGUACUUCUUUCUCAUUAUCACUUGUUGAAUCAUCCACACCCAUAGAACCAUCAAGUUUUGAGGCAUGCCAAUUGUCUUCUUCAUUUACUGCAUAUUUUACUUGAUCUGCAUUGCCUUCCUUGCCAUUCAUACUGCUGAAGACCCCAUACUGAUCUUCAUUAACAAUACCAUUUCCAGACUGAAGUCCAGUUGAGUCUAAAGCAAUAUUGUUGUAUCCAAAAAGUUUGGAGUCGGGCUCAUGGUCAAUAGUUCCUUGGCAAAAUACUUGUUUACCAUCAAGUUUCAUGUUCGCAUAGAUUGCAUAAGAUGCAAGAUUGUAUAGUUCUUCGAGCUAGUUUUAGCGAAAUCUUCAAGCACCACACCAGAAAAUGUAACCUUUUUAAUCAGAGAGGAAUUUAGUUCCCUUUUCCGCUUUCUGAUUCAGAAUCCGCAGGCACCCUGCUCAAAAAAUACCUGCAAAGGAGUAAAGAGAGAAACAUUCCAUGGCUGAAUUUAAGCGGGGAGAUUACAGAUAGCAGGGCUCUAAUCGAACACCAUGUUCAAGGUUGUAAGGGGAGUGUAGAUAAAAUGAGGAAUAGAAAAAGAAUGCAGAAACAGAGAAAGGCAGGGAGAGAGAGAGAGAGAGAGAGAG